AACAACUCAUUGAAAGCUUGAAGCAGAUAGAAUGGAAUCUGAGCAGUAGCUACUUCAGGUGCUGGGGUGAGUGUCGUUUUAUCCUUUUAAAUUCUUGUUAUUGGUAAUUUAAAAUGUUUUCAAUAAUCAUGCAUUACCUGUAUGACGUUUUUAAAAAAAAAAAAAAAAAUCCAUGGUCUCUUUCAGCUGGGCAGCCUGCGGCGGGGUAAUCUGUCAGGUGAGGGUCAUCAAGGUGAUCAGGCUGAGAGGAUGGACCAGAUACAAAGUGGGAGAGGCGAAGAGGCCCAGUUCCAGGGCCGGGGGCGAGGGGUGGGCGGUCCAAAGGGCACCGCCCCUGCGGGUCACGUGCUCGCCGGCCACCAAUGGCCGCCUCCGAGCCCACCUUGGGGACGGGGCGGGGCGCCUGGCUGGCGUCACCAGGACAACGGGCGUCGCCGGCGCCGUGUGACUUCGGGCUGUGGGCUAGCUCGCGGCUCUUCGGCCAUGGUUUUCUCAAACAAUGAUGAAGGCCUUAUUAACAAAAAGUUACCCAAAGAACUUCUGUUAAGAAUAUUUUCCUUCUUGGAUAUAGUAACUUUGUGCCGAUGUGCACAGAUUUCCAAGGCUUGGAACAUCUUAGCCCUGGAUGGAAGCAACUGGCAAAGAAUAGAUCUUUUUAACUUUCAAACAGAUGUAGAGGGUCGAGUGGUGGAAAAUAUCUCGAAGCGAUGCGGUGGAUUCCUGAGGAAGCUCAGCUUGCGAGGCUGCAUUGGUGUUGGGGAUUCCUCCUUGAAGACCUUUGCACAGAAUUGCCGAAACAUUGAACAUUUGAACCUCAAUGGAUGCACAAAAAUCACUGACAGCACGUGUUAUAGCCUUAGCAGAUUCUGUUCCAAGCUGAAACAUCUGGAUCUGACCUCCUGUGUGUCUAUUACAAACAGCUCCUUGAAGGGGAUCAGUGAGGGCUGCCGAAACCUGGAGUACCUGAACCUCUCUUGGUGUGAUCAGAUCACGAAGGAUGGCAUCGAGGCACUGGUGCGAGGUUGUCGAGGCCUGAAAGCCCUGCUCCUGAGGGGCUGCACACAGUUAGAAGAUGAAGCUCUGAAACACAUUCAGAAUUACUGCCAUGAGCUUGUGAGCCUCAACUUGCAGUCCUGCUCACGUAUCACGGAUGAAGGUGUGGUGCAGAUAUGCAGGGGCUGUCACCGGCUGCAGGCUCUCUGCCUUUCGGGUUGCAGCAACCUCACAGAUGCCUCUCUUACAGCUCUGGGUUUGAACUGUCCGCGACUGCAAAUUUUGGAGGCUGCCCGAUGCUCCCAUUUGACUGACGCAGGUUUUACACUUUUAGCUCGGAAUUGCCACGAAUUGGAGAAGAUGGAUCUUGAAGAAUGCAUCCUGAUAACCGACAGCACACUCAUCCAGCUCUCCAUUCACUGUCCUAAACUGCAAGCCCUGAGCCUGUCCCACUGUGAACUCAUCACAGAUGAUGGGAUCCUGCACCUGAGCAACAGCACCUGUGGCCAUGAGAGGCUGCGGGUACUGGAGUUGGACAACUGCCUCCUCAUCACUGAUGUGGCCCUGGAACACCUAGAGAACUGCCGAGGCCUGGAGCGCCUUGAGCUGUACGACUGCCAGCAGGUUACCCGUGCAGGCAUCAAGCGGAUGCGGGCUCAGCUCCCUCAUGUCAAAGUCCACGCCUACUUUGCUCCCGUCACCCCACCGACAGCAGUGGCAGGAAGUGGACAGCGACUGUGCAGGUGCUGUGUCAUUCUCUGACAGCAGCUGCCUGGGCCCAAGGGGUGAUGAGGCAUCCUUUCCUCUAGAAGACCUGAGUCUUCCUGACCUACUCCACCAUCACCCCAUCUGUUGAUUCUCCAUUGGGAAAGGCAUUUACAGUUUCCCAACAGGCACCUAUCAAGAUUUAAGAAUGGCGAAGACAAGAAAGGAUUUAUAAGCAACAUCUGACAUCACGUGGUGACCUGAAACAUGGCUCUGACCUAGUUAGUGCUCCUUGUGCCCUCUUCCCUAAUGAGCAGCCUCACCAGUACCCAUUUGCUUCUUUGAUACCUCUAAAGGCUAAUAAUCCUCAAGACAGACCAGACAGGCCCAGCAUCAAAAUACAUCAACUGUGUACAGUACUACAUCUAUCCAUCUGUCUGUCUGUCUGUCUAUCUAUCUAUCUAUCUUUCUUUUAUAUUUUCUGGAAGGUGGUGAACUUUAAUAUUUUCCAGCUCCAGGCAAAAUUCUGACCAGAAACAGAACAAAGACACGGAGAUACACUAUUACAAUUAGGAGGUUGAAAAAGUCAAAGUCAAAAGCAUGCUAAGCAUGCCAGAGUAAUCUCAAAUACAAGUCUUCAGACUUGAGAUACAGACAUCACAUGGUGUGAUUUCACUUUACAGGUAUUCUUUCUAAAAACCAAUGGAUCUGAGGACUCAGUUUCAAGGGUCCCCUUUUAUAAUCAUCCUUCUCUCACUUUACACAAGAAAGGCAUCACAUCUAACUAUAGCCCUGGGGUUUAAGACUCUCCCAGGCUGGACACGGUGACUCACGCCCCUCAUCCCAGCGCUUUGCAAUGCCAAGGCGGGAGCCCAGGAUAGCCCAGGAUAGCUUGAGCCCAGGAGUUCAAGACCAGCCUGGGCAACACAGUGAGACCCUGUUUCUACCAAAAAAUAAAAACAAUAAAAUAAAUAUAAUGAGGCUGGGCGCGGUGGCUCACGCCUGUAAUCCCAGCACUCUGGGAGGCUGAGGCGGGUGGAUCACGAGGUCAGGAGAUUGAGACCAUCCUGGCUAACAUGGUGAAACCCCGUCUCUACUAAAAAUACAAAAACUUAGCUGGGCGUAGUGGCAUGUGCCCGUAAUCUCAGCUACUCAGGAGGCUGAGGCAGGAGAAUCGCUUGAACCUGGGAGGUGGAGGUUGCAGUGAGCUGAGAUCAUGCCAUUAUACUCCAGCCUGGGUGACAGAGCGAGACUCCAUCUCAAAAAAAAUGAAAAUAGAUAAAUAAGUAAAUAUAAUGAAGAAAGACUCUUCCAAAGCCAAGCUAAAGAUACUAGGAUUAAAAAAAAAAAGAAAAAAUAGCCAGGUGUGGUGGUGCACACCUGUAGUCACAGCUACUUGGGAGUCUGAGACAGGAGAAUUGCUUGAAUCUGGGAAGGGGAGGCUGCAGUGAGCCAUGACUACACCACUGAACUCCAGCUUGGGUAACAGAGUGAGACCCCCAUCUUGAAAAAAAGGAAAGGAAAAGUACAUAACUCUAAUGAUUAAGUUUUUCUGUAAGUCAGGUGAUUUUCAAUUAUUUGCUAUCAAAAUAAUUCAGGAGGACCUAUUGUCAACUGACAUAUAUUGAAAUAAUCUAGUAGAUCACACAAAAAUGUCCCUGGGAUUUUUGACAGAUGAUUCAAAAGGACUUCCAGGACCUGAAUGACACUGCUGAAAGAAAAAUUAAAACAAAAUUUCUCAUAUCUAUAAAAUUCUAGAAGUUAUAUUCUAUCCUGUCUCAUCAUUCAAUAUGCAUUUCCAAUAAUAUUUCUAUUUUUACAUUUAAUAAAUAUUCAUCAAAAUCUGUAGGAUUUGUUGUUCUGAUAAAUUGGUACUAAUAAGAAGUUUUAAAUAUCUUGACUGAGUUAAGAGGCUAUGGUCACAGCAAAUUUUAAAAAUUAAAUUUCAAUUUAUGUAAAUUUGUUGUAAUUUUUUUAGGGUGAUCAUUUAAAAAUUUCAGUUUCAUCAUUUGAAGCCUCAGGAAGAAAAAAUAAAAAUCAAUAAGAAAAAAAUUUUUAAAGAUGUUCAGGCAUAAAACUAUGUCAUAUUAGGAUAAAAUUUAAGGGGAGUGAAAUAGAAACAUGAGACCAAGAAGGAAGUAAAAUUUUGGAUUUAAUGAAUUUUUUGAAUGAACAACAGCAGUGGUCAAACCGCCAUGGCAUUUAGAUUCCACAGGAUGCACUUCCAGAGUAAUGUCACAGUUUUAUCUUAAAUUGUAAAUGCAAAUCACCACCACGCCAGAACACUGCCUCCUUUGCAGCUAUUUAAAUUUAUGAUGAAAAAACUUUAUGAUGAAAACUUUCAGAUGUCGAUCUGGAAAGGUGCAAGUAUAUCCUUUUUCAAAAUUCUCUUGAGGCAAGGCAUGGUGGCUCAUGCCUAUAAUCCCAGCACUUUCGGAGGCCAAGGUGGGAGGAUCAUUCUGAGGCCAGGAGUUGGAGAUCAGCCUGAGGAACACAGCGAGAACCUGUCUCAAGUGUCUUGCAUCACUUGAGCCAAGGAGUUUGAGGUUGCAGUGAACUUUGAUCACACUACUGCACUCCAGGCCCAGGUGACUGGGCAAGACACUGUCUCUAAAAAAAUUUAAAAAUUAUUUUGAGUAGGUAAGUGUCAAGACCACUUGGUGUAAUGGAGCUAAGAAACUGUGAAGCACAAUGAGGGCAGAAAUUAAGUCUCACCAAUGGCUACAGGGGCUUAAAAUGCUUGGUCUGACAUCCAUCAAGCAAUGGAUACAUGGAAAAUAAUCUCAACUACCCAAUUAUGUAUCCCCUUAAAAAAGAAAAAUGAUUGCAGACUUAUUACUUCUAUUAUCAGUCAGCUUUCAAAAAAGAAAUCUAAUCUAGCUGGAGAGCUCUGAAUAAACUUAUUGCAUGGCAUAGCAACUCUGCUAUAAAUUACAUUUUACACAACAAUGCCCAUUCUUUUAAAAUUAGGGCCUUUUAAGCCAGGUGUGAUGGCACACACACACACCUGUGGUCCAACUACUCAGAAGUCUGAGGCAGGAGGACUGCUUGAGGAGUUUGAGGUCAGCCUUGGCAAUACAGUGAAAGCCCAUCUCAAAAAAAUAAAUAAAUAAACAACUAAAAAACUAGACCCUUCUUUUUCUUUCCACCUUACAAAGUAUCACCUCCUCAGUUUACACUGUUUGAUGAACCCAAGACCCUGUGAGCUGACUAGCAAAUCUAAUCAUGGGUAUCACACACUGUCACCUCACCUCUACUAUCUGAAAGAUUUUCCUGCUACAACAUCCCCCUGCACAUAUAAAACAUAAUACAGCAUAACAUACACGUAUAAAUAAUGUAAACCAUUUAAUAUUAAAAGUAUCAAGUCUCUCUAAACUUUUGGUAAUUAUUGCCAGCCAUUUGAAGAAAUGAAGCCAUCAAAAUGCUUCAAGUUAGCAUGGCAGAGUAAUGUAGAAACACCAAGUUUACCAAAACUCCAUAAAUACCCAUUUUGCUUUUAGAUAUUUAGAUUCUUCUAACAUUCGAUAAGCGAGCAAUGGUGCAGUGCCUAUGCUCCUGAAUUCAUAACGGCGCUAGCAAUGCCUGGCCUGGGCUCAUAGUUAUGGUUUCGGUAUACUGUGAACACAGUCCCUCCCCAGGUAAAGAAUGAUCACCCAUUUUAGGCUGUAGAAAUUGGCAGUCAUAAUUUGAGCCAAUCAUAUACAGCUCAGAGAUGAAGACCAACAGACACACUAAGAGUUUUGUUGUACAGCAUCUCCUGGUAACCAACAGUAGUGACUAUUCAGUGUGCGACCAUUUCAUUCGGCAUCUUUUCGACUCUAACAGUAAGUCUGGAUAUCCCUUUUUACUGAAAGCCAAUUGUAACUAGCCAAAAACUCUAUGAAAUGUUGGCCUUCCUUUGUAGGAAUUUGAAGAAACAUGAAAUUCUGCAAACUUUCUCUUUUAAGGGAUCAAUCUGUACCCUGCUUUUUUAAAAACAGGUUUUCAAGAUGAGCUCUAACCACCCCUAGAAGCAUCUGAACAAAAUCAAAUACAGCCAGGGCAGUAAGCAAUACAUGAGGAAGAUGUGAAAUCCCAGGCCAGUGAACUGCUGACGUUUUGCAUACUUUAGACUUGAGUUAAGAAUCAUUAAGAAUUUACCAACAGUUUUCCCAUCUUCAGAUUAUCUCUGGGCUAUAAUGAAUUUCUUUUAUUUAGGAAUUACCAGAACCCACUUCUUUAUUAGUUAAAUGGUUUAUAACAGGAGAGGAAAAGUGAGUUGCCAGAAUCCCCCGCAAAGAAGUUUACUAAGAACCACUGGUGGGUCUUCAGCUGAGAAAUCAGAAGAAGAUUAAAAACAAAAUUGCUGGGGCGGCUGUUUUAGGAAAGAAUAUACAGCUGUUUUAACAAUCUUUGAUUCGAUUUAAAAAAAAAAAAAAAAAGCCCAGUUAAAGAAAAUGUGACGUGUGCUUCCAGUGGCACUAGGAUGAGUACAAUUUCAGUUUCAUUGCAUAGAGAAGCAUUAAAACAUUUUUAUUCGAUACUAUAAUUGGAAAUGAGUUUCUUGUGAUAGUGCUUGUGACAGUAACAUUCAAAGUCUACAUUUAACCACAGUAAUUGUGAUAUGUGUAAGAAUGAAAAAUCCUCUGGUACUUUAAUAGUGCAAAGACUGCAACAGUGAAUACAGCAGUCAUGAAUACAUAUGAUGACAAUUAUUUUAAAUGAUUCUUUAAUGUUCUGUGUUUAUAUUUACUGAAGGUAUGUAGCUGAUGUAAGUUUGCAAAAGCAGGAUCAUCCUUUGUGGACUAAUAGAUGAAGAGUCAUGUCAUAAAAUAAAGAUUUGCUAUACUUAACUGGACAAAGCACAUAUUCAACCAGAUGCCCCCUG